rnacentral:tRNA from 1 species
GUUCGAGUAGUGUAGUGGUUUAUCACGCCAGUCUCACAUUGAAAAACUUAACUUCUAUUCUGCUUUUCCUUCUAGGAUAGGUAGAUUAUUUGGGUUAGAUAUGUAAAACACACUGGAUGUCCUGGGUUCGAACCCCAGCUCGAACA